rnacentral:antisense_RNA from 14 species
CACCGACAUCAAUGAUUCGUUUUGCGAACCAUGGCCGACAGCCAAAUAAGCGUGCAUGCCCAGCUCUUUCAUCUGCUGUUCGCCAAUCACGCGGGUGACGGUGUUGGUACUGAAAGCAUCCGCCAAUUGGCGAGCCUGAGACGCCAGAUAGGCGGCGUUACAGAUAUUGGGUGGCAUAUUGCCCAAGUCUUUUGC